GACGAACGCUGGCGGCGUGCUUAACACAUGCAAGUCGAACGGAAAGGCCCUGCUUUUGUGGGGUGCUCGAGUGGCGAACGGGUGAGUAACACGUGAGUAACCUGCCCUUGACUUUGGGAUAACUUCAGGAAACUGGGGCUAAUACCGGAUAGGAGCUCCUGCUGCAUGGUGGGGGUUGGAAAGUUUCGGCGGUUGGGGAUGGACUCGCGGCUUAUUAGCUUGUUGGUGGGGUAGUGGCUUACCAAGGCUUUGACGGGUAGCCGGCCUGAGAGGGUGACCGGCCACAUUGGGACUGAGCUGCGGCCCAGACUCCUACGGGAGGCAGCAGUGGGGAAUAUUGCACAAUGGGCGGAAGCCUGAUGCAGCAACGCCGCGUGCGGGAUGACGGCCUUCGGGUUGUAAACCGCUUUCGCCUGUGACGAAGCGUGAGUGACGGUAAUGGGUAAAGAAGCACCGGCUAACUCCGUG
rnacentral:rRNA from 1 species